UUUAAAUUGCUGUAGUAUUUUGACUAUACAAAGGUAUUGAAAUAAGACUUUAAUUGAGUGCUAAGAGAAUGGACUUUCAAAAAAAUGCUUUCUUAAUUUUAAAAAUUGAAAUUAUUUUUUUUGUGAAGAAACAACAAUAAAAAUUAAAGACAAGAAGACCCUAAGAAUUUUUAUAAAUUUAUUAUAUUAAUAUACAAUACAUUUAUUUAAUUGGGGCGAUUUGAAAAUAUUUAAAACUUUUUAAAAACUAAUAAGAUCCAUUAAUAAUGAUUUUAUGAAAAAAAUACUCUAGGGAUAACAGCGUAAUAAUUUUAGAUAGAUCUUAUAGAAAAAAUAGUUUGCGACCUCGAUGUUGGAUUAGGAUUCUUAUUUAAUGAAGAAGUAAAAAA
rnacentral:rRNA from 1 species